UACGUAGGCAGCAAGCGUUGUUCGGAAUUACUGGGCGUAAAGAGUGUGUAGGUGGUGUCGUAAGUUUGGUGUGAAAUCUCCCGGCUUAACUGGGAGGGUGCGCCGAAGACUGCGAUGCUGGGAGUAUGGGAGAGGAAAGCGGAAGUUCCUGGUGUAGCGGUGAAAUGCGUAGAUAUCAGGAGGAACACCUGCGGUGUAGACGGCUUUCUGGGAC
rnacentral:rRNA from 1 species